UCAUCCCAUGGACAGCACUGGCAGGCAGUCCACUCUCCCUGAUCCUUCUACCAGGCUUAAGUGGUAUCUGGGUCUCUCACUACUCCUUGAUGCACUGCCCAGACUGUCCUUAUCUGCUUCUCUGCCCUAUCUAUGACAAAUGUCUGCAUCUCCUCAGCUACAGCACCCCUGUCUGGCAUCUCUGGUCUUCUUCCCCCCAGGUAACUGCCGCUGCGCAUGCACAUCUUGAUAAACUGCUGGUCUUCUCCUUUUGUAACCUUCCUUCAGUGUCUCAUGCUCCAGCUCUCCCCAGCCUGGCAUACAUUCUUCUAGACCAGUGGUUCUCAAGGACCCAGUGGAGGAUUUACCAUAAGGCAACCAAAUUGGCUGCUUAGGGCCCUGUUGGUCCCAGGGGGCCCAGCGACAAGGCUGUAUAAAGGCCAUUUUUGGAGGACCACAAGCUUCAUCAAAUUUGCCCGAGGGCUGGCUGAAUACUUCCGGCAGGCUGUCAGUGAUUAGACAGCUGUUGGAUGCCGGCUCCACCACAUGCCGGUGUCUCCAGUCCUGCAGUAUUGUGCAUGUGACCCAUCAUGACACAUGUGUGAGGUCAGACGUGCAGAGAGAGGAGCCAGGAUGCACACAGAGAAAAUAUGAGGAACACCAGAAUAAUCUGUCGGUUAUUUCCGCAACUGUACGUUAGAACUCAAUUUAAUUACUUCAGUGUAAAUAAACAUCACUUUAUUACCAUACAAUUAUAAUGAAUCAGCGGUAUACCUCAAUAACCUCAAUUACAAGCAGUUAAAUGUCAAGCAAUUGAUCAUGAAAACAAUAAAGUGAACAAAGAUUUAAAAACAAA